rnacentral:misc_RNA from 1 species
CGAAGGCGCCGAGUGCAGGGUGCAUCUGUCGUUUCCUGCUGCGCUGGUUGAAUUUGCAAUCGCAGCAGGGGAGGCACUUGUAGUUGUCACACGCUGUCGCGUGGCAGACAGUUGAAACCGGCUCCCGGUGCGUAAGCGAGCAUCCGCGCGGAACUUCGAGGCAUCAGCCAUGCUUAUGAGAGCAGCGGCGCGUAAUUUGUCGCUUCUCAGACGGUGCGGCGUAUACCAUCAAUCCACCGCCGCCGUUUCAGUAGAGCCUGUGCGGAAUCCUGACAUCGCCUAUAAUCAGAUAUUUAUCAACAAUGAAUGGCACAACUCGGCGUCGGGCAAAACCUUUCCCACUGUCAAUCCUACGUCGGGAGAAGUGAUUACUCACGUGCAGGAAGGUGACAAGGCUGAUGUGGACAAAGCUGUGCAAGCAGCCAAGAAGGCAUUCGAAUUGGGAUCCGAAUGGCGCACCAUGGACGCCUCCGACCGAGGCGUUCUGCUAAAUCGUCUUGCUGACUGUAUUGAACGAGAUCGCUGCCUCAUUGCUAGCUUGGAGACAUUGGACAACGGCAAGCCCUUUGCAGAUGCUUACAACAUUGACCUACCUCUUGUUAUCAAGUGCCUCAGGUAUUAUGCUGGCUAUGCAGACAAAAACCAUGGCAAGACUAUCCCACUUGAUGGCAGCUACUUCGCGUACACACGUCAUGAGCCUGUUGGUGUGUGCGGGCAGAUUAUUCCUUGGAAUUUCCCAGCACUUAUGCAGGCCUGGAAGCUUGGCCCUGCACUCGCAAUGGGCAACACCGUGGUGAUGAAGCCAGCCGAGCAAACCCCACUGUCGGCACUUCAUGUGGCCUCUCUUGUGGCCGAGGCUGGCUUCCCACCAGGUGUGGUUAAUGUGGUGCCUGGUAUGGGCCCUACAGCAGGAGCAGCCAUUGCAGCUCACAGGGAUGUUGACAAGAUUGCCUUCACGGGUUCAACUGAGGUCGGCCAAUUGGUGAUGGAGACUGCGGCUAGGUCAAACCUGAAGAAGGUCACAUUGGAACUGGGUGGCAAGAGUCCCAACAUUGUUUUCAAGGAUGCUGACUUGGACGAGGCCAUAGAGACUUCACAUUUUGGACUGUUCUUCAACCAAGGCCAGUGCUGCUGCGCUGGCUCACGCAUUUUUGUGGAGGGCGCCAUCUACGAUGACUUUGUGGCUCGCAGUGUGGAACUUGCUAAGCAGAGAGUUCUCGGUGACCCCUUCGACGCCAACACCACACAGGGACCCCAGGUGGACCAAGAACAGCUGGGAAAAAUCUUGAAACUGAUUGACAGUGGCAAGAGUGAGGGAGCCCGCCUAUUGUGCGGAGGAGCCAGGCAUGGGUCACGAGGCUACUUUGUUGAACCAACUGUCUUCUCGGAUGUUAAAGACGGCAUGCGCAUUGCCAGGGAAGAGAUAUUUGGACCUGUAAUGCAAAUUUUGCGUUUUGAAAACAUUGAUGAGCUGAUUGAACGUGCAAACCGAACUGAGUAUGGAUUGGCUGCAAGCCUCUUCACACGAGACCUUGAGAAGGCAUUGCAUUUUUCAUCUGGGAUCAAAGCUGGAACUGUCUGGGUGAACUGCUAUGAUGUGUUGACUGCACAAGUACCCUUCGGUGGCUACAAGAUGUCUGGCAUUGGCCGUGAACUUGGGGAAUACGGCCUUGAAGCUUACACCCAAGUGAAGUCGGUGAUCAUGAAGAUGGGACAGAAGAACAGCUAAGCUGAAAUAUACGUCACUUUGUGCUGUUGCAUAUAACCUGUUUUUUUAUAUUCCCGGUACAAUACUCAAUAAAUAAUUUGAAUUUUCAC